rnacentral:rRNA from 1 species
CGGAGGAAAAGAAACUAACAAGGAUUCCCCCAGUAGCGGCGAGCGAAGCGGGAAAAGCCCAAAAUGAAAAGCCAGUUUGCUGGCGUUGUAGUUGAGCGUUCUUGGGGUGUCAGUCUGGGUAAGUGGCAUGGAAAUGCGCGCCGUGGAGGGUGAGAGCCCCGUCCAUCCCAUUCAGGACACCCCGCACAAGAGCGUUUCAGACGAGUCGGGUAGCUUGGGAAUGCUGCUCUAAUUGGUGGUAAAUCUCAUCAAAGGCUAAAUAACGGUGGGAGACCGAUAGCGAACAAGUACCGUGAGGGAAAGAUGACAAGCACUUUGAAAAGAGGGUGAAAAGAGCCUGAAACCGUUACGGGGGAAGCGGAUUGCGUUGGCCUGGUGGCCGCCUGUGUGUUCAGCCGUUUCGGUGCAUUGAUGCAGGUGGUUAUCCGUCGUGGCUUUUCGGUGGCGGAUUUUGCGCUGCUGGAGGGUGAGGGCUCCCUUCGGGUGAGGACGACGGAGUGACGACGCGAUACGACCCGUCUUGAAACACGGACCAAGGAGUCUAGCACGGGUGCGAGUCGGAGGGUUUUAAACCCGUGGGCGAAGUGAAAGCGAGUUUUAAAAACGAGCAGUUUGGGGCGGCAUAGAAUCGUUGAUUCUAGGUCCGACCUUGAGCAGUUGUGCUGGGACCCGAAAGAUGGUGAACUAUGCCGGAGUAGGGCAAAGCCAGAAGAAAUUCUGGUGGAGGCUCGUAGCGGUGCUGACGUGCAAAUCGCUCGUCGAACUUGGGUAUAGGGGCGAAAGACUAAUCGAACCAUCUAGUAGCUGGUUCCCUCCGAAGUUUCUCUCAGGAUAGCGGGCCGACAAGUUGUUUUGUGCGGUAAAGCGAAUGAUUAGCGCAUUCGGGGGCGUUUAGCCUUUGGGCGAUUCUCAAACUUUCAAUGCGCAAGGGUACCGGUGCUUUGUUGAGCGGUGCCGAUAAAAACGUCGGCCUUGUGGGCCACUUUUGGUAAGCAGAACUGGCGAUACGGGAUGAACCGUAAGCAUGGUUAAGGUGCCAAACUGCCCGCUUAUAGAUCCCACAAAAGGUGUUGAUUCAUCGAGACAGCAGGACGGUGGCCAUGGAAGUCGGAAUCCGCCAAGGAGUGUGUAACAACUCACCUGCCGAAUGAAUUAGCCCUGAAAAUGGAUGGCGCUUAAGCGGGCGACCGACACCAUGCCGUCUGUAAAAUAAUUCAGAUGAGUAGGAGGGCGUGGCGGCCGUGUCGAAGCGCGCCUGCAGAGGCGCGUGGAACGGCCGCUAGUGCAGAUCUUGGUGGUAGUAGCAAAUAUUCAAGCGAGAUCCUUGAAGGGCGAAGCGGGGAAGGGUUCCACGCGAACAUUGAUUGGGCGUGGGUGAGUCGUUCCUAAGCCGAGUGGCGAUUGCUAAGUAGCGGCGAAAGGGAAGCGGGUUGACAUUCCCGCACACGGAUGUGGAGGCGGCGACGCUUUAUUGGGGCGAACACGCUGGCGGUGGCGCUGGGCAGAGUUGUCUUUUCUGUUUGACCGCUUAUGCGCGCGGUGUGGAAUCCGCUUGUCGGGAGAAACACGCGUGUACGGGCAGAGCGCCGGGGCUUUUCCGGCGUCCAGCUCGCCACCGACGGCCCUUGAAACUUUGCCUGCUGGUUUUUAAGAUCCACGCCGUGGCGUACCGAUCACCGCAUCAGGUCCCCGAGGUGAACAGCCUCUGCUCGAUAUGAAAAAUGCAGGUAAGGGAAGUCGGCAAAUUGGACCCGUAACUUUGGGAAAAGGGUUGGCUCUAGUGCUGCGUGGGAGUGGUUGUCGGGUGUUGGCGUGUUUGGACUUGCUGAGCGAGCGCGGGCCUUCGGGACUGUGUUUGUUCGGCGAGUCCGGAUGCGCCACGCUCGACGACGCCCACAGCAUGCAGCAGACUAGAACUGCAACCGGGCAAAGGGAAUCCGACUGUUUAAUUAAAACAAAGCAUUGCGAGGGCCGUGGCCGGUGAUGACGCAAU